CCUACGGGUGGCAGCAGUGAGGAAUAUUGGUCAAUGGCCGGAAGGCUGAACCAGCCAAGCCGCGUGAGGGACGAAGGUGCCAAGCAUUGUAAACCUCUUUUGUCAAGGGACAAAAUCAGGCUCGAGAGCCUGACCGUGGGUACUUGAAGAAAAAGCAUCGGCUAACUCCGUGCCAGCAGCCGCGGUAAUACGGAGGAUGCGAGCGUUAUCCGGAUUUAUUGGGUUUAAGGGGUGCGUAGGCGGACUGUUAAGUCAGCGGUAAAAGCCCGGGGCUCAACCCCGGCGAGCCGUUGAAACUGGGAGUCUUGAGAUGUCGAGAGGUAUGCGGAAUGCGCAGUGUAGCGGUGAAAUGCUUAGAUAUUGCGCAGAACCCCGAUUGCGAAGGCAGCAUACCGGCGGCGAUCUGACGCUGAGGCACGAAAGCGUGGGUAUCGAACAGGAUUAGAUACCCCUGUAGUC
rnacentral:rRNA from 1 species